CAACAAUAGCUACAUGUGUAUCAUGAAUAUGUGUCUCACAGGGUUAUGUAACUGAUGAAGUGGGUGAUGACUCACAAAAGUUAUUGCAGCAAUACAUGUAGAAUUUGUGAACAG